GAUGAACGCUGGCGGCGUGCCUAAUACAUGCAAGUCGAGCGAACAGACGAGGAGCUUGCUUCUCUGACGUUAGCGGCGGACGGGUGAGUAACACGUGGAUAACCUACCUAUAAGACUGGGAUAACUUCGGGAAACCGGAGCUAAUACCGGAUAACAUGUUGAACCGCAUGGUUCAACAGUGAAAGACGGUCUUGCUGUCACUUAUAGAUGGAUCCGCGCCGCAUUAGCUAGUUGGUAAGGUAACGGCUUACCAAGGCAACGAUGCGUAGCCGACCUGAGAGGGUGAUCGGCCACACUGGAACUGAGACACGGUCCAGACUCCUACGGGAGGCAGCAGUAGGGAAUCUUCCGCAAUGGGCGAAAGCCUGACGGAGCAACGCCGCGUGAGUGAAGAAGGUCUUCGGAUCGUAAAACUCUGUUAUUAGGGAAGAACAAAUGUGUAAGUAACUAUGCACGUCUUGACGGUACCUAAUCAGAAAGCCACGGCUAACUACGUG
rnacentral:rRNA from 1 species